CCUACGGGUGGCAGCAGUGGGGAAUAUUGGACAAUGGGGGAAACCCUGAUCCAGCGACGCCGCGUGAGUGAAGAAGUAUUUCGGUACGUAAAGCUCUAUCAGCAGGAAAGAAAAUGACGGUACCUGACUAAGAAGCCCCGGCUAACUACGUGCCAGCAGCCGCGGUAAUACGUAGGGGGCAAGCGUUAUCCGGAUUUACUGGGUGUAAAGGGAGCGCAGACGGCUGUGCAAGUCUGGAGUGAAAGGCGGGGGCCCAACCCCCGGACUGCUCUGGAAACUGUAAAGCUGGAGGGCAGGAGAGGUAAGCGGAAUUCCUAGUGUAGCGGUGAAAUGCGUAGAUAUUAGGAGGAACACCAGUGGCGAAGGCGGCUUACUGGACUGCAACUGACGUUGAGGCUCGAAAGCGUGGGGAGCAAACAGGAUUAGAUACCCUGGUAGUC
rnacentral:rRNA from 1 species